CUAUACAUGCAAGUCGAACGAACUUCCGUUAAUUGAUUAUGACGUACUUGUACUGAUUGAGAUUUUAACACGAAGUGAGUGGCGAACGGGUGAGUAACACGUGGGUAACCUGCCCAGAAGUAGGGGAUAACACCUGGAAACAGAUGCUAAUACCGUAUAACAGAGAAAACCGCAUGGUUUUCUUUUAAAAGAUGGCUCUGCUAUCACUUCUGGAUGGACCCGCGGCGUAUUAGCUAGUUGGUGAGGUAAAGGCUCACCAAGGCAGUGAUACGUAGCCGACCUGAGAGGGUAAUCGGCCACAUUGGGACUGAGACACGGCCCAGACUCCUACGGGAGGCAGCAGUAGGGAAUCUUCCACAAUGGACGCAAGUCUGAUGGAGCAACGCCGCGUGAGUGAAGAAGGGUUUCGGCUCGUAAAGCUCUGUUGUUAAAGAAGAACGUGGGUAAGAGUAACUGUUUACCCAGUGACGGUAUUUAACCAGAAAGCCACGGCUAACUACGUGCCAGCAGCCGCGGUAAUACGUAGGUGGCAAGCGUUAUCCGGAUUUAUUGGGCGUAAAGCGAGCGCAGGCGGUCUUUUAAGUCUAAUGUGAAAGCCUUCGGCUCAACCGAAGAAGUGCAUUGGAAACUGGGAGACUUGAGUGCAGAAGAGGACAGUGGAACUCCAUGUGUAGCGGUGAAAUGCGUAGAUAUAUGGAAGAACACCAGUGGCGAAGGCGGCUGUCUGGUCUGCAACUGACGCUGAGGCUCGAAAGCAUGGGUAGCGAACAGGAUUAGAUACCCUGGUAGUCCAUGCCGUAAACGAUGAUUACUAAGUGUUGGAGGGUUUCCGCCCUUCAGUGCUGCAGCUAACGCAUUAAGUAAUCCGCCUGGGGAGUACGACCGCAAGGUUGAAACUCAAAAGAAUUGACGGGGGCCCGCACAAGCGGUGGAGCAUGUGGUUUAAUUCGAAGCUACGCGAAGAACCUUACCAGGUCUUGACAUCUUCUGACAGUCUAAGAGAUUAGAGGUUCCCUUCGGGGACAGAAUGACAGGUGGUGCAUGGUUGUCGUCAGCUCGUGUCGUGAGAUGUUGGGUUAAGUCCCGCAACGAGCGCAACCCUUAUUACUAGUUGCCAGCAUUAAGUUGGGCACUCUAGUGAGACUGCCGGUGACAAACCGGAGGAAGGUGGGGACGACGUCAAAUCAUCAUGCCCCUUAUGACCUGGGCUACACACGUGCUACAAUGGAUGGUACAACGAGUCGCGAAACCGCGAGGUUAAGCUAAUCUCUUAAAACCAUUCUCAGUUCGGACUGUAGGCUGCAACUCGCCUACACGAAGUCGGAAUCGCUAGUAAUCGCGGAUCAGCAUGCCGCGGUGAAU
rnacentral:rRNA from 1 species